AGAAAAAGAAAUAAGAAAGAAGAGAGAGAAAGGUAGGAAGAAAGUGAAGAGAGAGAGAGAGAGAGAGGGGAGCUCUCUGGGCAUGGAAGGCCUGGCCAUGCUUAGGCAGCUCAUCGGUCAGCUUCAAGAGUUCUUGCAAUUCUACCACUCUCAUCCUCCUCCACCACCACCGCCGCCACCGCCGCCACAACCGCCGCAGCCACUGGCUCUCACCCUAGCUUCAUCUCACCAGAGGUGGUGCUUCAAAGAUAUUGAUGACAACUCUACAGAUGAUUAUUACGGUCUUGUAUUGGUGGCUGGUAGAUCAGACAAUUGUAAGAUGACAGAAACUUGCAUGCUUCCACCUUUGAAAAAGCCAAGAAAGGAGCGGAACCGAGGAAAAUUGUUAGGAUCAGCAGCAACAACCGAGGUGAUGGAAGAAGAAAUCUGGAAAGAUUUCCCAGAAGACCUCUUUGAAGCUGUCAUUGCUAGACUUCCCAUAGCCACAUUCUUCCGGUUUCGUGCUGUUUGCCAGAAAUGGAACUCACUGCUAAACUCCGAAAGUUUCUCUUUUUACUGUGCGCAAGUCCCACAAACCAUCCCUUGGUUCUACACCAUUACUCACGACAUGGUUAGUUCCGGAGCCAUAUAUGAUCCUUCUCUGAAGAAAUGGCACCAUCCAUCCAUUUCAUCUCAGCCUAUUAAAUCACUUGUCCUUCCGGUUGCUUCUGCUGGAGGCCUUGUAUGCUUGCUUGAUUUCAGUCAUAGGAACUUCUAUGUAUGCAAUCCUCUGACUCAAUCUCUUAAAGUGUUGCCAGCUAGAUCGGUUGAAGUGUGGUCUCGUGUUGCAGUAGGGAUGACUCUAAAUGGGAGUUCGACGAAUGGGGGCUACAAUAUCUUAUGCCUUGGCUGUGAUGGAGAGUAUGAGAUUUAUGAUUCUGUAAAAAACUCAUGGAUCCACCCCGGUAGCAUGCCCUCGAGUAUUAAGCUUCCAUUAUCCCUGAAUUUCCGCUCACAAGCUGUCUCCAUUGACAGCACACUUUACUUCAUGCGUUCGGACCCUGAAGGGAUUGUGUCCUACAACAUGGUCACUGGGGUUUGGAAGCAGUUUAUAGUUCCCACCCCGCUACAUCUGACAGACCAUACGCUUGCAGAGUACGGAGGACGGAUCAUGCUCGUGGGGUUGUUGACGAAAAACGCAGCCACAUGCGUGUGCAUAUGGGAGCUGCAGAAGAUGACUCUCUUAUGGAAGGAGGUUGACAGAAUGCCAAACAUAUGGUGCUUGGAGUUUUAUGGAAAGCACGUUAGAAUGAAUUGCUUGGGAAACAAGGGGUUGCUCAUGCUAUCCUUGAGAUCGAGGCAAACAAACAGAUUGGUUACGUACGACGUGACGAGCAAGGAAUGGUCGAAAGUUCCUGGGGUGCCUCGUGGGAGGAAGCGACAAUGGAUAACAUCAGGCACUGCAUUUUACCCUUGCCCGACUGCAGUCGCUUGACUUAGCUGACAUCUUCCGGGUGACAACUUCUCCUCUCAUUGGGCAAAGCUUGUUAACUUGUUGACAACAAAGUCGAUGGUUACAAGAUAUGUGAAAGCAGAAAGAGAGAAAGGGUAACAAUACUAUUGUCAAAAAUCUUGAAAUCUCCCACAAGAAGAAGGAACAACUGCGGAAUCAAUUCCAUUUAAAAGCGAAAAAUAAAAAAAAAUAAUAAAAACAUUUCCUUUGUGUUCAUCUUUCUGCCUUAGAAAAGAGAAGACACAACGUAAUGUGUAAUAAUAACACCAUCAUAUCUCAAAAUCAGAGGAUUAUAUAUCGUAUCAAAUCAAAUCAAGCCAUGCCUCCGCCUGUUGCUGUCCUGAUUAUCUGGAAGAGAGCUGUUGAAUAAACAAAGAUCAGAAAAAAUAUAUAUAUAUAUGUGUGUGUGUGUGUGUGUGUGUGUGUGUGUGUGUGUGUGUGUGAUUCUUUGGAUACAAUAGAGACUCUAAAGACACAGCAAGUUCGCACGUUGUUAGGAUCGUGAGAGUCCCAAAUCUAAUUAGAGAUACGAUAAUAGUAAGGGCAUAAAAGGGCAUUGGUUAUAUAAGUAAAGUGUGUUGGGGACUUGGGAUGAAUCAUUUUGGUAAGAAUUUUCAUGGUGGGAAUUUGAGGGAAAGUAACCCUUCUCAAAUGUGGCUAUCAUAUAUUGUUGCUAGGUUGUAUCCUAAUAAGAUAUUCAAAUUGAAAUCCGGUGAUUAUUGUUAACAGUGUAUAGCCAUAGUAAAACAAGUAAUGAAGGUUGUUCUAACACGACGAGGUUUAAACCACCUAAAAUGUAAGUAAAGGAUCUACCCAGAUUUAGGAAGCUACGCUGAGGAACAAGAUUGCACUUAAAAGCAUAAUAUGUGCAGAAGAGACGAGGAGAAAGAUGAAUCACAUGAGAGUUGGGAGAAAGAUCGACAUUUUUGUCGGCUCAAGAGAUGGAUACCGACAAAGCUUACCGAAUGCACCAUCAAUAAAUUGAAUGAGUGGGGAUAAAGGUCUACUCUAACUUUGUAUAUAUGGCCUAAGUGAAAAUAUAUAAAGAGAACUUAUUUUUAUUAUAUAGUA